UACAGGGGGUGCAAACGUUGCUCGGAAUUAUUGGGCGUAAAGCGCGCGUAGGCGGCCCUGUAAGUCCGUUGUGAAAGUCAAAGGCUCAACCUUUGAAAGCCGAUGGAUACUGCAGGGCUAGAGUCCGGAAGAGGCGAGUGGAAUUCCUGGUGUAGCGGUGGAAUGCGCAGAUAUCAGGAGGAACACCAAUAGCGAAGGCAGCUCGCUGGGACGGUACUGACGCUAAGGCGCGAAAGCGUGGGGAGCGAACAGG
rnacentral:rRNA from 1 species